AGAGAGAGAGAGAGAGAGAGAGAGAGAGAGAGAGAGACACACACACACAGGCAGAGGGAGAAGCAGGCUCCAUGCAGGGAGCCCGAUGUAGGACUCGAUCCCAAGACUCCAGGAUCAUGCCCUGGGCUGCAGGUGGCGCCAAACCGCUGCGCCACUGGGGCUGCCCUCUUCCACCUGGCUAGCCCGGUGCUCUCCUCUCCGCCCUGGGCCGCCAGCAGAGGGCUCGUGGGGGCUGGGGUUGGCCUCGCCGCCCCGCCUCUUGUCUUCCAAUUGGUCCCUGGCAGGCGGGGCGGGGCGGGGCGGGGCUGGGCCAGUCCCCGCCCCGCGGCUGGGGUCCCAUUUUUUCCCUCCUGGCUGAGCCGGCGCCAGGCAGAGGCUGUCACUGAGGCCAAGUGGUGCACACGUUGGUCCGCAGCUCAGCUGGAGCCCUUGGUGUUCGGACGCCAGACUUUAGGGCUGCUGCCACUUCCCUGGUGGGAGCAGGGCCUAGUGGUGCGUGGGUCCCGGACAGAGAGGAGACACCCGCCUGCGAUGGGGCCUCCCAAGGCCACGCAGAAUCGGGUCGAGGGGGCGGGAGCCCCACUCCCCGAAGCCACACAGGCCGCGGCCCCUCCGGGCUGUGACUGGGAGCCCGGGGCACGGCGGUCGUGCACCUGCUUUUUAAGGUCUGGCGCCCGCCAGCCCGCCCCGGGCGCGGGCUCCUUGGUCGGCGGCGGUCGCGCCUGCUUUCGGGGUCACGAGGGCUCGGAACCUGACCCUGGCGUCUGGCCCGUGCUCCCAGGAGCCAAAGGCCUCCUGACUGUGACAGCCCGGGAGUUACUGCACCUGCCGCCAGGAGCUGCCCCCAGCCCAGCCCAGCCGAGCUGAGACCAGCUGGAGGGCGCAGCCUGGUGGCCUCCUACCUGCCCCUGUGGAUCGUGCCGCUGGGCCCCAGGAAACCGUCAGGCGGCUCCUGGAGCUUUGCCAGCGGUCGGUGGCUUCGGCCCGAGAUGCGCACCCUGGAACGGGUCCUAGGUCCCUUGGUGUCCGUGCAGCUCCUGGCCCUCCUGGCCCAGGACAUCCACAGCCGCGUGCAGAAGCUGCUUCUGCAGAGCUGCGAGGAAGCUGUUCCUGUCCUAGGGCAGAAGGAGUAGCAACCGGGGACCCCCUCGCCCUCAUUCACACUGAGACUCCACCUCAGAUAUGGCGCCUGCUCUAAGGUAUUGACUCCUAAAACCUCAGGGCACUUGUUCUUCCGAAUUCUCUGAGCUGUCUCUUCUCCGUUCAUAUCUUUAGACCGUUCUCCAGUGACCCCCUUUCAGGGGACCCGGCCCAGUGUUCCAGCUCAUCCGUUGUCACGGGUCUAAAACAUACAGCAAGUGGGUCUGCGUGCCCAGGCGUUUCCAUCAAGCGUGACUUAGAGGUUUGGAGAUGUGGAACCAAGGGCUCUAUCCAAAAGAGCCGGUUGUUUUCAUAAAGUGCGAGACAUCCAUGCGAUGAACUAUUUCAUAGAAAGUUUUUAAAAUGCCCAUAAGAUAUGACAGAAAGCUAGUGGCUGGACUGUGGUGGGAGGGCUAGAAUGGGCGCUGCGCACUUAAAAGGUGCUCCCUUUGUAAAAAGCUUAUUUGCCUCUGAGUCCUCUCUGCACUGAACGAGGGGCUCAUGCUCACACCCCCGAGUUCAAGGGUCACACUCUAUUCCUUUCCUAAAAAGGAUUGCAUUGAUUGAUUCAUGAGAGACACAGAGAGAGGGGCGCCUGGGUGGCUCAGCGGUUGAGCAUCUCCUUUGGCUCAGGCCGUGAACCCCGAGUCGUGGGACAGAGCCCCGCAUCAGGUCCCCUGCUCAGUGGGAGCCUGCUUCUCCCUCUCCCUCUGUUGCUCCCUCUGCUUCUGCGCUCUGUCUCUCUCUGCCAAAUAAAGAAGAUCUUAAAAAAUAUAAAACCGCAGGAUGCAUCAGAGUCUGAGCUUCACACCAGUGCGCUUUGGGCUAGCGGUCCUAGCCUGCUGGGAAGAAGUGAAUGACAUAGGAGCUCAUCCCGAGAAGUGACCCACAGUCAAACGCAGAAAGGGGCAACCGCAGUGGUUACCAGAGGCCACACUCACCUCCCUCACCUUGCUUCCUUUCUCCCAAAGCCAUAAAGCUGCAGGUCCUGACCUCUUCCGUAGUUAGCAGAAGCUGAUGAAAGCCAUGGACUCACUUCGCAGAAAUACACCCCACACGCACGCACGCACACACAGACACACACACAGACAGGCACACACACACACAGACACGCCACACGCACACACAUCCCACGACAAAAUUUUACAGAAUGUUGAAGAACAUCCAAGAACCCCCUACGACUGUGCUGCCCCAUACGAUAGUGCAUGUCCCAUGUGCCAGUUUUAGUUUAAUUAAUUCGAAAGAUUUAGUUUCUCAUUCACACUAACCACAUUUCAAGUGCUCUAGAGACAUUAUUGCAGCAAGUGCUUUAGGAGAGCUCGGCUUUGAAAUUCCACAGGCAUAAGGUUAAUGACCCCACCCCUUAAGUGAAGCCCUAUCCAUCUGGUGGCAUGUAACCCCCCUGCCAGUCUACUAUGUGCUGUCUUUU
rnacentral:lncRNA from 1 species